UGAAAACAUGGCCACGAGGUCUGACUAAUUU
rnacentral:piRNA from 1 species